rnacentral:rRNA from 1 species
CGCGUAGGUGGUUUUUCAAGUCAGGCGUGAAAGCCCCGGGCUUAACCUGGGAACUGCGUUUGAUACUGGAUGACUAGAGGACGAGAGAGGAAAGUGGAAUUCCGAGUGUAGAGGUGAAAUUCGUAGAUAUUCGGAGGAACAUCAGAGGCGAAGGCGGCUUUCUGGCUCGUAUCUGACACUGAGGCGCGAAAGCGUGGGGAGCAAACA